GAUCCCGUAGCUCAGCAGGAUAGAGCACUAGAUUCCUAAUCUGGGGGUCGCGCGUUCGAAUCGCGCCGGGAUCG
rnacentral:tRNA from 1 species